rnacentral:rRNA from 1 species
CCUACGGGGGGCAGCAGUGGGGAAUAUUGCACAAUGGGGGGAACCCUGAUGCAGCGACGCCGCGUGGGCGAGGAAGUAUUUCGGUAUGUAAAGCCCUAUCGGCAGGGAAGAAGAAAUGACGGUACCUGAAUAAGAAGCACCGGCUAAAUACGUGCCAGCAGCCGCGGUAAUACGUAUGGUGCAAGCGUUAUCCGGAUUUACUGGGCGUAAAGGGAGCGCAGGCGGCGCGCCAAGUCUGAUGUGAAACCCCGGGGCUCAACCCCGGGCAUGCAUUGGAAACUGGCGGGCUGGAGUGCCGGAGAGGG